UCAUAGUACCACUAAUCAGGAGGUCUAGAAGGAGUCAUAGUUCCACUAAUCAGGAGUUCCAGAAGGAGUCAUAGUACCACUAAUCAGGAGGUCUAGAAGGAGUCAUAGUUCCACUAAUCAGGAGGUCUAGAAGGAGUCAUAGUUCCACUAAUCAGGAGGUCUAGAAGGAGUCAUAGUUCUACUAAUCAGGAGGUCUAGAAGGAGUCAUAGUUCCACUAAUCAGGAGGUCUAGAAGGAGUCAUAGUUCCACUAAUCAGGAGGUCUAGAAGGAGUCAUAGUUCCACUAAUCAGGAGGUCCAGAAGGAGUCAUAGUUCCACUAAUCAGGAGGUCUAGAAGGAGUCAUAGUUCCACUAAUCAGGAGGUCUAGAAGGAGUCAUAGUUCCACUAAUCAGAGCUCCUAAAAUGACUCCAUAGACAGUGAACUACUUUCUCCAUCCAGCUGUAAAAACAGACAUGAGCUGCUUCAGACUUGGUUCAGGGGUUCUCCAUGGAAACCAGAGUUAGUGUGAAGCUCAGACAGUGUGAAGGAACCUUCAGAACAUCAACCUCUAUGGACGGAGGACC